GGUCGGUACGUCGGUUGGGGGUUACGGGGGAAAGUCGUGGCGCGUCGCGGGGUCGCGGCGCAUUUCAACUCGCAUCCUCGUUGUCCCGUACGAGUUUUUGACGCGAGCGAGUGUUUCGAGAUUUUCAUGGAGUGUCGGAAGUGAAGUGAGUUGUCGGGCGUUCGUUUCAACAUUCGUCGUCAGUCGGAUGCGAUGUAUGGUGAGAAGUCGUGUCGCGUUUAAUCGUGUUUUGCAUCUUCUCCGCUGCCUCAUAUUCCGAGUUUCCGACACCAAGUGUGACGAAUCGUCGUGAGGAGGAUCUUGAAUCUCGAGAAUACGUUCGACAGCUGCGGCCAAGACGGAGCUGGACGGAACGACCAGCAGCGAACAGUCCAUCUGAUUUUUAUACUAACUUGAUCUGUUCGGUGGCGCGGAAAUAAACAUCAUCGGGUGCAUCCAUCCACGACAUGACCUGUUUACGCGCGUUACUUCGAGAUAGCGGUGGACCGUGAGGCAGCGUAUGUGGAUGAGAAGCUCUGCCGUUAAGAGGUGGUGCGAGAGGAAGAACUGCAGGUGCGGGAUGUUCCAGCGCAUGUUUCGGGUGCAACUGUUGCGGAUGAUGAGCUCUUUUCGUAGGUGGUCCGCUAGAAGGAAGCCCAGCGUUCAGGGCGAUACCUAGAAAGGGAAAGACAAAGAACUUGCGUCAAAUGGAACGUCUCUCACCAGAGUAAUGUCUCUAGAUGCGGCAGCUGCGGACAUAUGCAAGGAGGGCUGCUUAACGGAGGACGAACAAUCUAAGGCUCUCGCGAAGGUGCCUACUGAUCUGCUAACAACAAGGAAUUGAUCGAUCUGACGAUCUGUCAAAUUGUGUCUCGGAGUCCAAACCAAACUCUCUAAAUCUUGUAACCUGCGAGAAUCCGCCUCUCUCUCGGCGGGCGUCAGUACUGCUGGAAGUUAAAGUAAUGAAGUAAAUGAAAGGCAGGGGACACGGCAGAAUCAAUGAAAACUCGACCACGAUACUGAACCAAAAAGAGAAACAUCAGCAAGAGCGGGGCAACAUAAAGGCAAACGAAGUAAUAAUUACAAGGCAAAAACAAUAAUCUGCAACGGAAAGAUAUUUAACUGUCGAGGUAAAAAAAAUUAUGUCGUUUAGAGAAACCUCAGAUUACUAAAGUGUCAUCAUAUGAUGCGGCGGGAUUUUUAUUUUACGAAUGUGAACGAUAGAUGAAUGACGAUGAAGGUGUAUGACGGCGACGAGUAGAUUCGAGAAUUGCACGACGAUAAACCGGAAAGGGAAUCUCGAGAAAAUAUUUAAAGUUGAACAGGAUCAAGAUCCCGGCGAUUAAGAUGUUCGAAAGAAUCCGCCGUUCUAAAUAUACGAUGUUAAAAUCUUAAAUACGAAAAGUCAAUAAUACUGAGCGAGAUAUUUAUAUGAAUGAUUAUGAAUGCAUGUGAAUGAAUGAUUUGUACGGGCACUUUGGUGGCAAAAGUCAUCGAACCCCUCGUCAAUCAGCUUAAAAGAAAAUGGAUUCGAUUGCACCCGAUUUACUGUCUCUUCGGCCUUACAGUGAAAAUUGCCUUAAUUCGCGACAUACACCAAGAUUACAAAGAAUUUUAGUAAUCCCGCCGCUAAUCAAUAGCCUUGAAUCGUCAUUGGCUUCUCUAUAGGACUAAUGAGAUAAUCAAAAGAUGCAGAUUGUUUGCCGUUUACCGACGAAUCCACUAAACGCUUUCGAGCAAAAACAGUAUAUAAUAUCAAUUUUAAUUUUACUAAUAACAUGUAAAAACGAUGACUUUUAUAAUUCAAUAUAUAACUAUCUUGCGUGUGUCCAUGCCUAUCAUAAGUAAAUCAUUUGUUUUAACAACGAUCUUAUAGAAUUAUAAAUAAAAAUAUAUUAAAGUAUUAAAAA